UACGAAGGGGGCUAGCGUUGCUCGGAAUCACUGGGCGUAAAGGGCGCGUAGGCGGAUCUUUAAGUCAGGGGUGAAAGCCUGAGGCUCAACCUCAGAAUUGCCUUUGAUACUGAAGAUCUUGAGACCGGAAGAGGUUAGUGGAACUGCGAGUGUAGAGGUGAAAUUCGUAGAUAUUCGCAAGAACACCAGUGGCGAAGGCGGCUAACUGGUCCGGUUCUGACGCUGAGGCGCGAAAGCUAGGGGAGCAAACGGG
rnacentral:rRNA from 1 species